rnacentral:rRNA from 1 species
GUGAGGAAUAUUGCACAAUGGGCGAAAGCCUGAUGCAGCAACGCCGCGUGAGUGAUGAAGGCCUUUGGGUCGUAAAACUCUGUCCUUGGGGAAGAAAAAAAUGACGGUACCCUUGGAGGAAGCCCCGGCUAACUACGUGCCAGCAGCCGCGGUAAUACGUAGGGGGCAAGCGUUAUCCGGAAUUAUUGGGCGUAAAGAGUGCGUAGGUGGUUUUGUAAGCGUAGGGUGAAAGGCAGUAGCUCAACUAUUGUUAGCCCUGCGAACUGUGAGACUUGAGUGCAGGAGAGGAAAGUGGAAUUCCUAGUGUAGCGGUGAAAUGCGUAGAUAUUAGGAGGAACACCAGUGGCGAAGGCGGCUUGCUGGACGAUAACUGACGCUGAGGCGCGAAAGCGUGGGGAGCAAACAGGAUUAGAUACCCUGGUAGUCC